GUGCAAGUUAGUCAAACAGAGAAAGAACUGGAACAGAGAGAGCAAAACCUAACAGCAAGAGAACAUGGCCUGUUUGUGGACCUAGCUGAAGCCGUAAGCGCUGCUGCAGAAAUGACCUCCUCCCACUGUUCUGGCGUCUUCGGCUCUAAGGAGGGAUGAGUGGAUGGAUGUGGAUGGCACUGUGACUCUGGGCCCAGAAGCCUGCGCUCGAAAGAGCUACAUCACUUCCUGGUCACAGCUGGGACUCAUUCGGAUCACUGAGUCCUUUUGUAAUUCCCUGGUUGACCUUCCUGCCUCCCCAGUGCCUCUCCCCUGAUGGUCAGGCUCUGUUCCCCAGAGGUCAGUGUGAGGCCGAUGGCAGAGCCAUCUGGCCCCUGGGUCAUGGGAAGUCAUCGUUUAAGUCCACUGAUCAUGUGUGUCCAUAAGAGGUCUCUACCUGUAGUCUGAUGUUUCAUUAGACACGUUAUUUUUCUGAAUGCAGUCUCCAACUCAUUAACUCAUUGCACCAUACAAACAAAACUGAAUCAGACACCUAGCCCUAGAUCUGCGUUCAAAAAUUAUUACUCUGUGACUCUUCAUAGACUCAUAGUCUUCACAGACUUCAUACUCCCACCCAGGCUUCCCCCCAGCCCCUGGCUUAUGCAAGCUGUGCACUUGUUUGCUAACUCCAGUAAGUUCUUUCUAGCCUGGUUUUGCAGAGUCCUCCCCCUGCCAGUGUUAGACGCUGCAUAAACAACCUUAUCAUUUGGCAGUGAUUUUUAAAACCAUGCCAGUCCUUUUCUUUGCCCUUUGCUCCCCUCAGCCCAUACUGUAUUGACCCAGUGCCAGCUUCUCUAGCUUUUCUCCAGAGCAUUGUCCUGGAAUACAGUACAAGGAAAAAUACCACCUGUGAGUCUGCUACACUAUUGGGAUGAUUGGAGUUAAGUGGCUCAUGGAGAUCAUUUCUCUUGUCGUAUUAAGUGAAGGCCAAGGUCCACUGUGCUUCCUGCCUCUCCUUGAGAACACCGAGGCCAAUAUCAUUCUCGCUGCACAGCUUAAUAUCAGACACCCUGAAAGCAGGUGGGUGUGGGGCACAGUAUUUGCUGAACCGCCUGGCAAACAAAUAUUUGCACCUACGGCCUGCUGCACGGGUCUGAGCUGAGGACGCUGCCCAGCACGAGGUACCGCCACCCUGCUCGUCUCCUGCCUUCAACAAGUCUGCAUCACACCGGGUUUAAUGCAGCUUCCUCUAAAGCCUUCCAAAGAAGGCUUCAAAAAUCUCCUCAAUGUGCAAUUUAAAUCCAGUUAACGUAACAGUUCAGUCUGUGUCUGAUCAGCACUUACUAAUCCAUGGCGUGCAACUCUUUUUUAAAUUAUUAUUUUCUGAAUGAAUUAGUGGAAAAAGUGGCCUGUACCCUCUUCCUAAGCCUGGUAGAGUGCCUCCUGGUAGAGUGCUCACCAGCGCCGCCUCCUUUAUGCCCCCUUCCCUUGCAGGAGAAAUUCGGUGAGUGCUGGCUCUAUCUUGCUUGGUGUGCAGAAAGAAAAGGGCUUCCCAUUCUCUGUGGAAGUGAGAAGUCCCCCGGCAUCCCGCCUUCUUGUCCAGGUUGUAUGGCCGCAGUUUCCUGAUCGACUUUGUGGCUCUCCUUUGAACCCUCUUAAGGACUUGUUUCUCCACUGACACGCGGCAUGCCUGUGGCCCAGAUGUGCAGCCGUCACCGAGUUUACUGCUGUGUGAACAGCGGGCAAAGGGCAGGACUGUUGGAAAACUCCUGUGAUGAAUGUGCAGCCUGGCUGGAACAAAAGCCAAAGCCAGCCCUCGUCCAGGAGGCAGAAUGUACCCAG